rnacentral:misc_RNA from 1 species
UCAGUCCGGCGCUGCCCCCGCAACGGUAAGCGAGCGAAAUUCUCUUCAGGCCACUGUGCUCCAGCAUGGGAAGGCGAGGAUUUCACGACCCUCGCAAGCCCGGAGACCGGCCUGCAACGCCCUGUUGGCA